CAGGGAGACAACAAAAUGUUUAAUAUUAUUAUUUUGUCACCUUAGGUCGAUCGGUAUCUCACGUUCUUAAUUUGUUAAGAAUUUCAUUUCCUAAGUUUUUCUAGGUCACACCCAUUAUUUUUCCUGGGCCAUUAGCUCAGGUGGUUAGAGCGCACCCCUGAUAAGGGUGAGGUCCCUGGUUCAAGUCCAGGAUGGCCCAUAUUCUCUAUGUUGGGGGUAUAGCUCAGUUGGUAGAGCGCCUGCUUUGCAAGCAGGAUGUCAGCGGUUCGAGUCCGCUUACCUCCACUGAUUACCACCUCUUCCAUAACUGGUAGAAAGGAAAUGUUUUGAGUUGUGAUCAUUAUUCUGAACGAAUCUAGCUUCCUAAUGAAAUCAUUAAGAUGCUGGACUCAUUGAAUUAAUUUCAUUGUUUUCAGAGAACCUUGACAACUGCAUAGAUUUUUUUAAAGACAAUAAGCAUCUUUAAUGAUGCAGAUUUAUUAUUUGUGCGAAUGCAUUAAUAACAAUUCUAUUAAGCUGAUGCUUCAAUUUUUGAAGUUAUU
rnacentral:tRNA from 1 species